CCACGCCUUCCUCUUUACUUGCUUGUAGUGUGAGUGCCAGUGUGCCACUUCCAAGAGCUACCUCACAAGGAACUACAAAUCUUUAACUUCUGACAUCUCUCUCCCNNNNGGAAUCGCAUAGAGAGAGAGAGAGAGAGAGAGAGAGAGAGAGAGAGAGAGAGAGCUAAAAUAGGAAAGGGAAAAUGGGUGUAGGCGCCAGCAACUUUGUCAUCAGAUGGAUCAACUUUCUCACCAUGCUUUUAGCUAUAGCUGUCAUAAUUUUCGGAGUGUGG
rnacentral:misc_RNA from 1 species